rnacentral:rRNA from 2 species
UACGUAUGGUGCAAGCGUUAUCCGGAUUUACUGGGUGUAAAGGGAGCGCAGGCGGCGCGGCAAGUCCGAUGUGAAAACCCCCGGCUCAACCGGGGGACUGCAUUGGAAACUACCGGGCUGGAGUGCCGGAGAGGUAGGCGGAAUUCCUGGUGUAGCGGUGAAAUGCGUAGAUAUCAGGAGGAACACCAGUGGCGAAGGCGGCCUACUGGACGGUGACUGACGCUGAGGCUCGAAAGCGUGGGGAGCAAACAGG